AUGACUUUGAUCAGCGUCUUCAUCUGCACACUGGCCCUCUGGACUCAAGGAUCCAGAGGUCAGGUGACUGUGACUCAGACUCCUUCAGUCCAAACUGUUGAUCCAGGAAACACAGUCACCUUCAACUGUAGAACCAGUAGCAGUGUGUAUAAUGGUAACGGUCUCGCCUGGUACCUGCAGAAACCUGGAGAAGCUCCUAAACUCCUGAUCUAUGAUGCUACUAGCUUACAGUCAGGAACUCCAGCUCGUUUCAGUGGCAGUGGAUCUAAUACUGACUUCACUCUGACCAUCAGAGGAGUCCAGACUGAAGAUGCAGGAGAUUACUACUGUACGAGUUUCCAUGUGAUCAGUAGUAGCUGGGUGUUCACACAGUGUUAG